GUCAAUUGCCAAAGGCUGUUCUAACUGCCCCUGGAAGAGCUGCAGGGUGGACCCAGGCACUGUUCCCAUUGGCAUCCUGGGUCUCCUCCUGCUGGCUCUGUGCUACCUUUGCAGGUAUGGAUUCAGAUAAUGGGGACUAUAGGACAAAAGACUCUUCCAAAGCCAGGAUCUCAGCCCUGAAAUCACAGGAUGAGGAAGCAACUCUAUGUCCAUCAGCCAGUGAAUGGAUAAACUGACACAUCCACACAACUGAAUAGCACUCAGCAAUAAAGACGAACAAAUUAUUGAUACAAGCAAUGACUCGGAUGAAAUGGAAAUACAUUUUGCUAAAUGAAAGAAGCUAGACUCAACAGCCUGAAUACUAUGUAAGUCCAUUCAUAUGGCAUUCUGGAAAAGGCAAAAUUACAGAGACAAAAAAAAAAACGCACAGUGUUUGCUGGGGCCUAGGGUUAGAGGAGGGGGUUGAUAAGCAAAGGGUGGCAGAAAUGUUCUAGAUCUUGAUUGCAGUGGUAGUUAAAUGACAGUAUGUGUUUUUCUAAACUCACAGAACUAUACACAAAAAGAGUGUGAAUUUUACUGCAUGUAACUUUAACCUCAAUUAACUUGACUCCAAAUAAAGUAAAUAUGUAUCAUGUAGUGAUGACAGGCUCUGUUAGGAACAGUGACAGGGACACUGGGUCUGGCUGACCUGGAGAAUGCAAGCCAUCAGUCUAAGCAGUUCUUCUGGAAGAACAUUUAUCUGCUCACCUGUUUUUUUCCCUUGCCUCAUUCCUUUUUACUGAUCCUCAGCCCCAGCUCUGCAGAACAACUCCAACUUAACUGUAUACAGUACCACCUGCCACCCAAUCCCCUUCUAGGGUUUGGGCCACUUGGAAGAGAGGCCUCCCCAU
rnacentral:lncRNA from 1 species